GCCCUUGUAGUGUAGUCCGGCCAAGCACUAAGCCCUCUCGAGGCUUGAACUCGGGUUCGAAUCCCGGCGAGGGCA
rnacentral:tRNA from 1 species